ACUCCUACGGGAGGCAGCAGUAGGGAAUAUUGGGCAAUGGAGGCAACUCUGACCCAGCCACGCCGCGUGCAGGAGGAAGGCGCUCUGCGUUGUAAACUGCUUUAGCAGGGGAAGAAAAAGGCCAUGCGUGGCGAAUUGACGGUACCCUGAGAAUAAGCACCGGCUAACUACGUGCCAGCAGCCGCGGUAAU
rnacentral:rRNA from 1 species